rnacentral:rRNA from 1 species
AUUGAACGCUGGCGGAAUGCUUUACACAUGCAAGUCGAACGGCAGCACGGACUUCGGUCUGGUGGCGAGUGGCGAACGGGUGAGUAUGUAUCGGAACGUGCCCAGUCGUGGGGGAUAACGUAGUGAAAAUUACGCUAAUACCGCAUACGAUCUAUGGAUGAAAGCGGGGGAUCGCAAGACCUCGCGCGAUUGGAGCGGCCGAUAUCAGAUUAGGUAGUUGGUGGGGUAAAGGCCCACCAAGCCAACGAUCUGUAGCUGGUCUGAGAGGACGACCAGCCACACGGGAGACGAGACACGGUCCAGACUCCUAAGGGAGGCAGCAGUGGGGAAUUUUGGACCAUGGGGGAAAGACUGAUCCAGCCAUUCCGCGUGCAGGGUUGAGGCCCUCGGGUUUUAAACUGCUUUUGUACAGAACGAAAAGGUUUCUACUAAUACUAGGAGCUCAUGACGGUACUGUAAGAAUAAGCACCGGCUAACUACGUGCCAGCCGCCGCCGUAA